CAGGAGCGUUACUUCCUCAAUAAUUCAACCACAUUUCUGCGGUUGCCUAACGUGCGCCACCCUGGGCCUUUCAUUGAAUUUGUCAGCACGGACGGCUGCCUGAGGGCUAACUAUUGACGUUGACGGUUGACCAGCCAGUACAACCUCGGCUCAUUUUAGACUUAAUCAGUUAAUCCUUAAUGCAAAAACACAGAUCACAGUAAAUCAACGGUUUUAUGAAUGAAAUGAGGGGUAGUUAAAGACAGCAUCUUUCAAUUGUCUGCUGGAACUGGAUCAUCUUUGAUUUCUCUUCCUUCUUUAAAACUUGGCAAUAUCCAUCAAGGAUUUCUCUCAGGUACGUAAUUUGUUUUAGUACACCCAAUUCACUGAUUCUCUUUCCAUGUUUAUACUUCUUACUUUUUCAGGGCUCUCUGCUAUACACUGCAGUCUGGAGCUGAAUUCUUCACCAUAUGUUCAUUGUUUGUUUAUUUAUUUAUUUUUUUGAUAUGUGGGUAAGUGGCUUAUUGAUGAAAUGUGAAUCUUUUGGACUUAGUUAGAUCGAGUCUGUAGUAUUUAAUUUUAACUCAAGGAUUCGGUUUACUUAAUUGUUAUGUUUUAAUGAAUUUUUGAGAUUGCCAGAGAUUCUAGCAUAGCUCAUCAGUUCUAGAGUUGGUUGUUCGUUUCUGGUCCUGUGGUGAUAAAAGGGGAAUGCAUUAAUGUAGCUCAAAUUCAUUUCAAAAUACUUAGUCAAUGCCUCUGGAGAUCUACUCGAUGAACCGAAUAUCAAACAAUUAAGCUUUUAAAUGUGAUUAAAUGGUAGUUGGCAACUGGAAAAAUCAGGACUUGUUUAUUGCAGUUUUGCAAAUGUAGGAAUUAAGGAGUUUUCAUGAUUAUGUUUGAGGUGAAUGUGGUUGGAUUAUGUGGAUUGGAAAUCUGAGAAUCUUUUCAUCAUCUAGAGUUGGACUUCAUAGAUUGCAGAUUGUGUGUGAACUCUACCAGGAACGUGAAACAUAAGAGGGAGUUAAGUGAGCUUCGUGUAAUUCAGAUGCUGGUUUGCUGGUUGAGAUUUUUUUUUUUCGUUCAAAGUCCAAAAUGAAGGGGGAGGCUGAGGCAAUGAGGGGGUAAAAAAGUACUGCAAAGCAUUUUCAAGUUUGUUUUCCAUGUAAAAAUUUUUUAUUCUUGUAAAUGGGAUUUCUAUUAUUGGGAUGUUACUUUCAUUCCUGUUUUUCAUCUUUUUCGGAAGUGGGGAACAGAUUUGUGUUGGUCUGAAUGCCUUGCCAUGACAUUUCAGCCAUUGGUAAAUGAGUGUAUAAAGAGUGUAUAACAUACUAGCUCAAGUUGGAAUCAUUAAAUAUUAUUAUUAUUAUUGGGGAAAGAGGGAAAGCUGCAUGUGCUCAUCCAUUCUGCCACUGCAUGGCAAUGUGGUCAACCAUUUUUCUGGUGGUCUGCAUUGGUUCUGUGACGCUGUGCAGGAAGUCUGAUGGUAUUGGUUUUCUGCUGUUUAAUUCUGGUGAAUUGUGACUAUUGCCUGCUAUUUUGGAUGAAGUAAAAAUAAUUGAAUCUGCCCAUAGCAAUGUUUUGAAUUUAUUUGGAUUACAUGAUUAUGCUAUCAUUCGAUGUUUUGAUUAAUCCUUCCCCUUCCUCUCUCUCCUUCUGCAGUCAGUAGCAGAAUUUUAACUUAUGGAAGACCUAAUAAAAAGCUUAUUAAUUCUUAAUUUUCUGCAUUCCUUCCUCCAGGUUUUCAAGAUUAAGGAAUUGAGCAAUAGGAAUGGAUGACUACUUUAUUGACAAUACAUACGCUGACAAUCCAGAAUCUGACAAAAGACAUGAAGGAAACUCAUUCCAAGGGGGAGGCAUGAGGGAUAUAGAAAAUGUCAUGGAAAUUUUAACCAGAACAGCCUUGGACCUGGCAUAUUCUUCUGAGAAAUUGGUAUAUUUGCACGUCCUUGUAAUUCAUCUAUUGGCUUGGGAUAUUGAUCUUGAGGUAAUUGCCGCAGAAAAUAGCUAUAUCUCAGCAACAUCUGCUGAGAAGGCACUGGUGUUUGAUCUUCUAUCUGUUAUUUUGGAUUCUGAGGUUAGAGAGGUGGAGAAUUUCAUGGAUAAUAUCCAAGCAGAUAUUGUUGAUGCUCGUCAUAAAAUAUUUUCAUGCAGACACUCAACAGAACUAGUCAGAAGCAUGGAAGAGAAAUUGCAUGAUUCUGAGGAAUCAUUGAAGAAAACUCGAGAGAAGUUUGUAGAGGUGAAGUUGCAGUCAGUCAAGUUGCAGAGGGCCUCUACAGCUUUCAGAAUUGAGAACUGGAAAGAGGAUAAGUCCAUGAGGUUUUCAGCCAAUGGUCAACUGUCAAAUGUUGAUGCAAAUUCAAAAAGGCAGACAGCUGAACCAAAAAGAAAUAUACUAAGAAUGUUGGAGAAGUCUCUUGCACGAGAACUAGAUCUUGAGAAGAAAUUGUCUGAACUAAGCAAGAAUGAAGAACAGCUGAAAUUAAAGCUACACUACACAGAACAAGUAACAUUUCGCAUGGAGGAAGCUGCAGAAGUGGUUUGGGGAAGGUUUUUAGAGGCAGAAAAUUCUGCUGAGGUGCUCAUGGGGAUUGCAAAGGAAUUGGUUGGUCGACUUCAGAUUGUUCAAUUUAAUGUGAAUGGUUCACUCCAACGAGAAGCUGAAUUAAAAUCUGAACUCCUAUAUUGCAGAAGACAGCUAGAUGCCAAAGAUACUGCAUUGAGGAAGCUUGAGAGUAGCAUUGCAGAACAUGUAACCAAAAGCUCAGAAGUGCCCCCUUUGAUGGAAAAAGUAAAGUCACUAGAGGAACAGCUGAAAAGAUCUGAAUUACGUCUAAAGCAUUCAAAUGCUUUGAAUGAAGAAAUUCAUGAACAACUUAGUGAGAUGGAAAUUAUAGCCGAGUCUUUGAAAGAAAACAUCUUUGAAGCAGAAAGUAGGGCUGAAACUGCAGAGGCUAAAGUUACACAAAUAACAGAUACAAAUUUGGAACUCACAGAAGAAAUUAAUUUUCUUAAAAGUCACAGAGAUAGUAAUAGCGAAAAGGUGAGCUUGCUUGAGAAGCAGGUAAGGGAAUUGGAAAUCCAACUACAGCAUUCAAAGAUAUCAUCUGAAGUAAGUCAGGAGCAACAAAAUAUGCUAUAUUCUGCAAUAUGGGAUAUGGAAACGUUGAUUGAAGAUCUAAAAUCGAAAGUAUCCAAAGCUGAAAGUAAGACUGAGAGUGCAGAGGAGCAUUGCAUGAUAUUAUCUGAAACAAAUAUGGAACUUAGUAAAGAAAUAAGUUUCUUAAGGUCUAGAGAGAAAGGCUUAGAGGCUUCUUUGAAUCAAGUUAACAGCUCAAACGCAGCAAAUGCAAAAGAAAUCAAUCUGAGGACCAGGCUUAUCAUGGAUACACUAAGGGAACUAAGCAGAGAAAGGAAGCGCAUCCAGAAUCAGGUAUUAACUCAGUUGCAUAUUUGCUACAAGCAUUCAUACUGAACCUGUAACUUUAAAGUGCUUAUUCAUCUUUUGCUCUCAAAUUGAUUGGAGGAACUUGAUAGUGCAUUUGGAUUUCUGCUGAAACUAGAAAUGUUUUAUGCCUCUCUUAUAAUAUUUUGUUCAAGUCUACAACAUAGACAUAGAAGGCAGCAUGUAAAACCCUAAAGCUUGUACUACCAAUGUGAUGGCUCCUGUCAUUGGUGCUACUGGCCUUAGGUAAUUGAUCAUUAAAAGUAUUCAAAACAAAUUUGGACCACCGAUUUUCCAUGAGAUAUCCACUGACAUUCAUUGUUUGCUUAAUUUCUUUUUUUCUUUUUUUGUCCCCUUUUUUCAGUUCCUUAAGGUAAAGAUUAUGCAAAUUUAUGUUGUCAUCUAUAGCAGACUUGUAGGACUAGAACAUUCAUCUCCAAUUGUGCGGCCAUAACAUGUUUUUUGCAGCUAUUUUCUUUGAUGAGGGAGAACAAAAUAUUGGUGGAAAAAUUAAGAAAUGCCAAAAGCAAUGCUCCUAUAAAUGUAUGCAAAGAUGGAGAUGUUGAUAAAAAGGUUCUCUUUUCCGAAAGCAACUUAUCUAAUGAAACUCUUGGAAAAGCUUCUGAGGAAGCGAUGUUAUCUAAAAGUUCUCAGGCAGGUGGAUAAGGUAUUUGAAGAUGCAAGUCCGCAUGAGAUUGAAGUGGGGAGUUCUCAUCCCGCACAUGAAAGUUCUGACUUGGUUUCAAAGCUUCAAGUGAAGAGGACAAAGCUGGCAGGGCAAACUAACAGGUUGCUUAAUUUCAAAGCAAUUCUUGUUGCAGUAAUUGCAGUGAUGGUCAUGUAUUUGUUACACAAGAAGAAAUAUGUCCCAUUUGAGAACUUCUGAUGGCUGACUUUCAUAGUGAAAUUAUGACCAUAAAGACCACAUUCUAGCAGCUCCCACUGUAUUACAUGUUGUAAUAGUUUGUUGUAACUGUGUCUGUGUGUCAUAGUUGAAUAUAAUUGUUCUUUUUUCUUCCCUUUUCUUUUCUUAUCAGUGCCAUCCAUGGCAAAAUGUGAAUCUUUGUAAUGAGAC
rnacentral:misc_RNA from 1 species